ACGGGAGGCAGCAGUGGGGAAUAUUGGGCAAUGGACGAAAGUCUGACCCAGCGACGCCGCGUGAAGGAAGAAGAUCUUCGGAUUGUAAACUUUUGUCAACAGGGAAGAAACAAAUGACGGUACCUGUGGAGGAAGCCACGGCUAACUACGUGCCAGCAGCCGCGGUAAUACGUAGGUGGCGAGCGUUAUCCGGAUUUACUGGGUGUAAAGGGUGUGUAGGCGGGAGAGCAAGUCAGAUGUGAAAUGCAUAGGCUUAACCUAUUGAAGUGCAUUUGAAACUGUUCUUCUUGAGUAUCGGAGGGGUAAAUGGAAUUCCUGGUGUAGCGGUGAAAUGCGUAGAUAUCAGGAGGAACACCGGUGGCGAAGGCGAUUUACUGGACGAUAACUGACGCUGAGACACGAAAGCGUGGGGAGCAAACAGGAUUAGAUACCCUGGUA
rnacentral:rRNA from 1 species